GGUGGCUGCUGCCCCAUACAGACAGUCCCCCGCCACCCUCACUAACAUGGCCUUCAUAUUGCCUGAGGGCAUUGAGUUUGCAACCCUUGCUCACUUCUUCCUUGCAUCCCCUCUCCCCGCCAGACCCAGCCAUGUGCAGCAUCCACGCAGCUGCAAGAGAAGUCAGUGAUCUGAGGGCGCAGAAGGAAGGCCGCGGCUCCCAGAGGUUUGCAACGUCCUCUACAAGAUGGGCCAGAAAUUUCACCUGGUUCUAGAGGAAAUUGAUGAUUGAGCUGAGAGAGGAAAAGGGCUCCUGUGAGAGAGAGCCUGAGAGGCUGGAGUAGAGCUAGCCACCUCCAUCCUCGGCUCAGAGCAAGGGCUGGCGUCUCAGCCGAUCUGGCUGCAGUUACUCAGUGGUCCUGUGACCUGGGGAACAAGCUGACCACAGACGAGAAACACGCCUACAAGGUAUCCAUCACAGCUGACAGAAGAAUGGAACAGUGUGAUGCCUGGAGCCUGGCAUGCCUGGAGACCAACAUCCCUGGACCUCUCCUCACUGCCCAUUUUCCCUAUAUAACUGCCUCAAGAUUCUGU